rnacentral:rRNA from 1 species
AUUGAACGCUGGCGGCAUGCCUUACACAUGCAAGUCGAACGGCAGCGGGGACUUCGGUCCGCCGGCGAGUGGCGAACGGGUGAGUAAUGUAUCGGAACGUACCUUUCAGUGGGGGAUAACGUAGCGAAAGUUACGCUAAUACCGCAUAUUCUCUGAGGAGGAAAGCAGGGGACCUUCGGGCCUCGCGCUGAUGGAGCGGCCGAUAUCAGAUUAGCUAGUUGGUGGGGUAAAGGCUCACCAAGGCUACGAUCUGUAGCGGGUCUGAGAGGAUGAUCCGCCACACUGGGACUGAGACACGGCCCAGACUCCUACGGGAGGCAGCAGUGGGGAAUUUUGGACAAUGGGCGAAAGCCUGAUCCAGCCAUGCCGCGUGAGUGAAGAAGGCCUUCGGGUUGUAAAGCUCUUUCGGACGGGAAGAAAUCAUGAGGGCUAAUAUCCCUUGUGGAUGACGGUACCGUAAUAAGAAGCACCGGCUAACUACGUGCCAGCCGCCGCGGUAA